GGUGAAAGCAUCAAGUCCAAUAACUAUUUCAUGCAUUUUGGCCAAAUUAUGCCCACUUUGGACUUGGAAAAUCCUGUUUAAAGUUUUGCUUGCAAGUACUGUAGUACAUAUUGUAUCUAGCUAUUCCUUAAAAUUAAUUUCCUUUUUUUCUAGGUGGAUAACCAACCCAGCAGAUGACAAAGUGGGUGCUGUAUUAUUCAGAUAAUACCGAGCGGUUGCUCUGGUCCUAUAAAGGUCAACAUUUAUGUAAAAUGUGCCCAUCCAUAAUUUCUGGGAGUACAUUGUUGAUCUUACUUUUCAACGCAUUUGAAGGUGGAUAACCAACCCAGCAGAUGACAAAGCGGGUGCUGUAUUAUUUAGAUAAUACUGAGUGGUUGUUCUGGUCCCAUAAAGGUCAACAAUUAUGUAAUAUGUGCUAUGUGCUUAUCCAUAAUUUCUGGGAGUACAUUGUUGAUCUUACUUUUCAACGCAUUUGAAGUUUGUGAUGGUCUUGUUCCAGAUAUAAUUCAGAUUGCUGCCACGGAGUAUGCUUAUAACUGAAAUUGCUCAACAGGUGAUGGGGAUUGUCAAAACUGGUCAAACAAGCAUGUCAGUAAACGGAAACCCUGUUGUCCUGCUAACAAUCAAAUGAGCGCUGCGGAAUUUCUUUACUUGGUUACAGAAAUUUCAUUAUGUAAGUUUGCUGCAGGUUUGAUCUUCCAGCGCUAGCCACUGCAUGGAGGAAUAUUGGCUAACUACCAUUUUAUAUUAUUUCCCUUCAUUAGCUGUUCAUGAUACAAAAUUCAUCGACAAAGAGAAACACAAGACAGCAUUAUAGAAGCCCAGGAUGUGUGCAGAACAGCAACAGCAGAAAAUAUUGCCAGUUUGUGACUGACCCUUUCUCAUCUUCAAACCACAUUCCAUCUUUAAGGAGAUUAUGGACUUA
rnacentral:lncRNA from 1 species